CGGUGAAUAGCGCAGUUUGGUAGCGCAUCUGGUUUGGGACCAGAGGGUCGGGGGUUCGAAGUCCCUCUUCACCGACCA
rnacentral:tRNA from 1 species